GAUGAACGCUGGCGGCGUGCCUAAUACAUGCAAGUCGAGCGAACGGACGAGAAGCUUGCUUCUCUGAUGUUAGCGGCGGACGGGUGAGUAACACGUGGAUAACCUACCUAUAAGACUGGGAUAACUUCGGGAAACCGGAGCUAAUACCGUAUAAUAUUUUGAACCGCAUGGUUCAAAAGUGAAAGACGGUCUUGCUGUCACUUAUCGAUGGAUCCGGGCUGCAUUAGCUAGUUGGUAAGGUAACGGCUUACCAAGGCAACGAUGCAUAGCCGACCUGAGAGGGGGAUCGGCCACACGGGAACUGAGACACGGUCAAGACUCCUACGGGAGGCAGCAGUAGGGAAUCUUCCGCAAUGGGCGAAAGCCUGACGGAGCAACGCCGCGUGAGUGAUGAAGGUCUUCGGAUCGUAAAACUCUGUUAUUAGGGAAGAACAUAUGUGUAAGUAACUGUGCACAUCUUGACGGUACCUAAUCAGAAAGCCACGGCUAACUACGUG
rnacentral:rRNA from 1 species